rnacentral:rRNA from 1 species
AGGACGAACGCUGGCGGCGUGCUUAACACAUGCAAGUCGAGCGGAAAGGCCCUUCGGGGUACUCGAGCGGCGAACGGGUGAGUAACACGUGAGUAAUCUGCCCCUAGCUCUGGGAUAGCUCCGGGAAAACCGGGAUUAAUACCGGAUACGACCACUUUAGACAUCUGUUGUGGUGGAAAGAAUUUUGGCUAGGGAUGAGCUCGCGGCCUAUCAGCUUGUUGGUGGGGUAAUGGCCUACCAAGGCGACGACGGGUAGCCGGCCUGAGAGGGCGACCGGCCACACUGGGACUGAGACACGGCCCAGACUCCUACGGGAGGCAGCAGUGGGGAAUAUUGCGCAAUGGGCGAAAGCCUGACGCAGCGACGCCGCGUGGGGGAUGAAGGCCUUCGGUUGUAAACCCCUUUCAGCAGGGACGAAGCGAAAGUGACGGUACCUGCAGAAGAAGCGCCGGCUAACUACGCGCCAGCAGCCGC